GAUUUGGUGAAUCUUUUGAAAAUAGAUCGUGCUGGGGAUUGAUGCUUGAAAUUUUUCAUCAUGAACGAGGAAUUCCUAGUAAACGCAAGUCAUCAACUUGCAUUGAUUACGUCCCUGCCCUUUGUACACACCGCCCGUCGCACCUACCGAUUGAAUGAUCCGGUGAACACUUUGGAUUUUGGCUCGUUGGCUGUAACAGGUCUUUGAGCAUAAGAGAAGUCGUGUAAAUCUUAUCAUUUAGAGGAAGGUGAAGUCGUAACAAGGUUUCCGUAGGUGAACCUGCAGAAGGAUC
rnacentral:rRNA from 1 species